UGAAAGAAGAAAGGAUGAAGGUGCAGAAAGCCAAUCUUUAAUGGAUCUGGAUGCGUUGUCCACACCCCCACGCUAACCCUCCCAGCAGCUGUCAUCCCUACUGGACAGACGAGGAUUCACCAUCCUGAACCAGGAGAAGCAGCUAAAAACCCUGGAUUCCAGCCCCGGUGCCAUCUAGACAGAGAUCGUGUCAGAAUGGACCCUAGUGGAAAUUGAGCCUUUCAAAGUGACGUCAACAUGAUACUGGCACCUGGCCUUGGGUCUCUUUACAAAGGAAAGGGGAGGAGCAAAUUCAGAAAGGCAGUCCAGUGCUUUACCCACAGGCAAAACAAAAGGGGUCCCAGCCUAACAAGAAUUAGGGCUGCUUGGGAGGAUGCUGUGCUCCUGGAUGAAGACCUCUCCAUUGCAUCUGGAGACAACCUAGCCCCAAACCCAGCACCCCACCUCACCAACUCCUCCUUUGCUUAUUCUGAAGUAAAGCCUGCCAACUGCGCAGUCUGCUUGCAUCUACAAACGCCCCAGUCAUCUGAUUGUGAAAGAGCAGAGAAACAGACAUGUGCUUUCAACACAGAGAAGACCCACCAAGCAACCUAGAAACAAACCAAGUCAUUCUCCUACCUGCAAUUCCAAGUAGACAAGCGAAGUUAACCAGACCUCAGAAUAAAGUGAGCAGCAUAAAAACA
rnacentral:lncRNA from 1 species